rnacentral:rRNA from 1 species
UUUCCUACGGGAGGCUGCAGUGAGGAAUAUUGCACAAUGGGGGCAACCCUGAUGCAGCGACGCCGCGUGGGUGAUGACGGCCUUCGGGUUGUAAAGCCCUUUUGCCACUGACGAGAACGGACGGUAGGUGGCGAAUAAGCCUCGGCUAACUACGUGCCAGCAGCCGCGGUAAAACGUAGGAGGCGAGCGUUAUCCGGAGUUACUGGGCGUAAAGCGUGCGCAGGCGGUGCCAUAAGUCAGGUGUGAAAGGUUCCGGCUCAACCGGAGAAACGCGCUUGAGACUGUGGGACUAGAGUGGGAUAGAGGGACGUGGAAUUCCGGGUGGAGCGGUGAAAUGUGUAGAGAUCCGGAGGAACACCAGAGGCGCAAGCGGCGUCCUGGGUCCCAACUGACGCUGAGGCACGAAAGCUUGGGGAGCGAACGGGAUUAGAUACCCCGGUAGUC